ensembl:lncRNA
AAGUGAUAUGACUGAGAGACAUGGCAGAAUUCCCUCCCGUAAGCAAAAGGAGAAAUAUGCCCUUGGAAUAAUUACACUCUUUCCCUCAUUGAAGGAUCCAUUUUCUCCAAACGGCUAUGAGCAUUUCUACGACGGAGUGAAAGGCACUGGAUAUAUAGCGUGGCGCCUCAAAACCAUGUCCAGGUCUACAACCAAACGGCCAGUGAAGGAAGUCCCAGUGCAUCAAGAACAAGGGCCUAAGCGCAGAAGAUUAGCAACCACAUUGCCUCAGCAACUUGAUGGAGAUGCCUGCAAGGAGGCCAUCUCAUUUCUUGUUCACUCUCCUGAUGAAGCAAGUGUAUUUCAGAA